GUAUUACCGCGGCUGCUGGCACGGAGUUAGCCGAUCCUUAUUCGUACUAUACUUUCAGGCUCCUACACGUAGAAGCGUUUACCCUAGUACAAAAGCAGUUUACAACUCAUAGAGCCGUCUUCCUGCACGCGGCAUGGCUGGUUCAGACUUGCGUCCAUUGACCAAUAUUCCUCACUGCUGCCUCCCGUAGGAGU
rnacentral:misc_RNA from 1 species